AUACUUACCUGGCAGGGGAGAUACCAUGAUCAUGAAGGUGGUUUUCCAGGGCGAGGCUCACCCAUUGCACUCUGGAUGUGCUGACUCCUGCGAUUUCCCCAAAUGUUGGAAAUUCGAUUGCAAAAUUUGUGAGGUGGGGGGGGACUGCACUUGUGCUUUCCCCUG
rnacentral:snRNA from 1 species